rnacentral:rRNA from 1 species
CUACGGGUCGCUCCAGUGGGGAAUAUUGCACAAUGGGCGCAAGCCUGAUGUAGCCAUGCCGCGUGUAUGAAGAAGGCCUUCGGGUUGUAAAGUACUUUCAGCGGGGAGGAAGGGAGUAAAGUUAAUACCUUUGCUCAUUGACGUUACCCGCAGAAGAAGCACCGGCUAACUCCGUGCCAGCAGCCGCGGUAAUACGGAGGGUGCAAGCGGUAAUCGGAAUUACUGGGCGUAAAGCGCACGCAGGCGGUUUGUUAAGUCAGAUGUGAAAUCCCCGGGCUCAACCUGGGAACUGCAUCUGAUACUGACAAGCUUGAGUCUCGUAGAGGGGGGUAGAAUUCCAGGUGUAGCGGUGAAAUGCGUAGAGAUCUGGAGGAAUACCGGUGGCGAAGGCGGCCCCCUGGACGAAGACUGACGCUCAGGUGCGAAAGCGUGGGGAGCAAACAGGAUUAGAUACCCCGGUAGUC